UACGGGGGGGGCAAGCGUUGUUCGGAAUUACUGGGCGUAAAGGGCUCGUAGGUGGCCAACUAAGUCAGACGUGAAAUCCCUCGGCUUAACCGGGGAACUGCGUCUGAUACUGGAUGGCUUGAGUUUGGGAGAGGGAUGCGGAAUUCCAGGUGUAGCGGUGAAAUGCGUAGAUAUCUGGAGGAAUACCGGUGGCGAAGGCGGCAUCCUGGACCGACAUUGACGCUGAUGAGCGAAAGCUAGGGGAGCAAACGGG
rnacentral:rRNA from 1 species